CUGAACGCAGCUCACCAGUAAACUCACCUGUUUGCACAUUUAAAAGCCGUGUUACGGACGGAUCAGAGCUUCUCCAGGUCCAGGUCUCAGCGACCCUGGUUCGAGACCGUGACACGGAACAACCGGCUCCGGCUGAGAGAUCUGUGACCUUCGAGAACAGAGAGUGUAUGACAGGAACUUCACAGGAAGAGAAAAGGUCAGCCAACAGGAACAUGAGAGUGCCAACGGAGCUAAAAGGAAACAUUGAACCUUAGUGAGACAUGCCAAGAUACCCAACAGGUGCGCUGGCCUGAGAGGCGGCGGGGCGUCGGUUGUUUCUGACGGUUACUGUGGUGAUUCUGCUUGUUGCUCAUCAUAUUGACCAAACAGAUGUAUGUGAACAGGAAGGAGGAUAUUUCAGGGUGGAGCUGCGUUCAACAUCAGCUGUACAGGAGGAUGUGACUGUGUGACGCACACAAGAGGACCAUUAUAGUAUAGAUCCUCCUCUCCUCCUCUCCUCUCUCCUCCUCUCCUCUCUCCUCCUCUC